AAUAUACUCCCUCCGUCCCAAAAUAAGUGACUCAACUUUGUACUAAAGUUACUACAAAGUUGAGUCACUUAUUUUGGGACGGAGGGAGUACAUG
rnacentral:pre_miRNA from 1 species